GGGGAAUAUUGCACAAUGGGCGCAAGCCUGAUGCAGCCAUGCCGCGUGUAUGAAGAAGGCCUUCGGGUUGUAAAGUACUUUCAGCGAGGAGGAAGGCGUUAAGGUUAAUAACCUUAGCGAUUGACGUUACUCGCAGAAGAAGCACCGGCUAACUCCGUGCCAGCAGCCGCGGUAAUACGGAGGGUGCAAGCGUUAAUCGGAAUUACUGGGCGUAAAGCGCACGCAGGCGGUCUGUCAAGUCGGAUGUGAAAUCCCCGGGCUCAACCUGGGAACUGCAUUCGAAACUGGCAGGCUAGAGUCUUGUAGAGGGGGGUAGAAUUCCAGGUGUAGCGGUGAAAUGCGUAGAGAUCUGGAGGAAUACCGGUGGCGAAGGCGGCCCCCUGGACAAAGACUGACGCUGAGGCAUGAAAGCGUGGGGAGCAAAC
rnacentral:rRNA from 1 species